AUUGAACGCUGGCGGAAUGCUAUACACAUGCAAGUCGAACGGCAGCACGGACUUCGGUCUGGUGGCGAGUGGCGAACGGGUGAGUAAUACAUCGGAACGUGCCCAAUCGUGGGGGAUAACGUAGCGAAAGCUACGCUAAUACCGCAUACGAUCUAAGGAUGAAAGCGGGGGAUCGCAAGACCUCGCGCGAUUGGAGCGGCCGAUGGCAGAUUAGGUAGUUGGUAGGGUAAAGGCCUACCAAGCCGACGAUCUGUAGCUGGUCUGAGAGGAUGAUCAGCCACACUGGGACUGAGACACGGCCCAGACUCCUACGGGAGGCAGCAGUGGGGAAUUUUGGACAAUGGACGCAAGUCUGAUCCAGUCAUUCCGCGUGCAGGAUGAAGGCCCUCGGGUUGUAAACUGCUUUUGUACAGAACGAAAAGGCUCUGGUUAAUACCUAGGGCUCAUGACGGUACUGUAAGAAUAAGCACCGGCUAACUACGUGCCAGCCGCCGCAGUAA
rnacentral:rRNA from 1 species